GCGCGAUCCCUGUGUUCACGGAGCACACACCCGUGUGCCAGACUCCAGUUGCGUCGGGGACACGGGACGCAUGCAGGUGACAGCGCUGCGAUGUCUUCCAGCUGCACAAGCACGGACUAGCUAGGCCCACCUCCAAGGAGCCUAUGGACCCUGAGCGCAUCAGUGGGCUGGGCCUCGGAGAAGUGAGCACCCUCAGAGCCCCGUCUCCUCGCAGGCCUCGAAACCCCGUCCAGGUGACGCUCAAGGUCAGCUGUCACUUACUCUUGGCUGGAAACUAUGCAGCCUUGAGGGGUGGUUGCAUCUCGGUCAGCUGUUGCUGCUGUAACAAAGAGGGCUGGCAGCCAAUAACCCACACAGACUGCUUCCCCAGUCCUGGAGGCUUCGAGCCCGAGAUGAGGGUGCGGCUCGGACAGUGUCUGGGGAGGGCCUGCCGGGUGGCACAUGGUACCGUCCAGCCGUGCCCUCACCUGGUGAAGGGCACAGGGAGCUGCCGGGGCCUUUAUGAGGACCCUAACCCUAUGCAGGAAGUCCCGCCUUCAGGACCAACGCUCCGCUGGGAUCCAGUGUGGCCCAAGAACCCCAUCGCUCUGCCGUGUUGCUCAGGAAAUCUGACCGAACAAAAGGCCUGCUCCAUGCCCCUGCCAUGAAGAUUCCAGUUUUGGGGGCCACUUUCAGUCCCCAGUGGGUGGGCACUGAGGCUGCAGAACCCCAGGACUCGGAGGCUGGCUGUGUCCACAGAACGGCGGCAGGCUGGCCUCCAGGGGGAGCACAAGGCAAGCUGAGGUGGGCACGCGCUGCCUGCCGGGAAAGAGACCCAUGGCACAGGUGGCGUCCAGAGAAGGGCAUGGGGAGCCCCUGGUUUACAGGGAACAGGAGCCGCGGAGGACACUGACACUCCACCGGGCUUCCAGUCAGAGCUGCAGCCAGGUGGAAAUCAGGUGGGAUGUCCUUGAGUGCCAAGAAACCACAUCCCAUCUGGAGAACCUGGCACCAGCCGGGAGGUGACGCUGGAGAAAGGAUGAGUCCCUGAAUUUCAUUUAUGUUUCACAGGCCCUGGAAUAUAGAAGAACAAAAUGAAGAAGCCAGGUGUGGUGGUGUACACCUGUCAUUCCAGCACUUGGGAGGCUGAGGCAGGAGGAUUGCCUCAAGUUCAGGGCCAGCUUGGGCUACAUAGCGAGUUCAAGGUGCGCACACACACACCAACUAAAUUUUUUAAGUGAGAUAAUGGGAGUCACGUGGCAGGACAGAGGAGGGAGCAGGCCCUGGUGUCGCUAUGACCUCUAACUUCCUCUUCAGAUUCAGUCUCCCUUGCAAGGGCCUGGAAUGACUCUUGGUGUCAUCUCCACGGUGUCGGUGUCGGCUUCCCCCAGGCACUAUGCAAGCCCC
rnacentral:lncRNA from 1 species